rnacentral:rRNA from 1 species
AGCAGCCGCGGUAAUUCCAGCUCCAAUAGCGUAUAUUAAAGUUGUUGCAGUUAAAAAGCUCGUAGUUGAAUUUCGGGAUCAAAUUGUCGGUCGUGCCUCGGUACGUACUGGCGUUAUUGGUUCCUCCCUUCUGAAGAACCGCGAUGUCAUUAAUUUGGUGUCGCGGGGAAUCAGGACUGUUACUUUGAAAAAAUUAGAGUGUUUAAAGCAGGCUCGCGCUUGAAUACAUUAGCAUGGAAUAAUGAAAUAGGACGUUUGAUUCUAUUUUGUUGGUUUCUAGGAUCGACGUAAUGAUUAAUAGGGAUAGUUGGGGGCAUUAGUAUUCAAUUGUCAGAGGUGAAAUUCUUGGAUUUAUUGAAGACUAACUACUGCGAAAGCAUUUGCCAAGGAUGUUUUCAUUAAUCAAGAACGAAAGUUAGGGGAUCGAAGACGAUCAGAUACCGUCGUAGUCUUAACCAUAAACUAUGCCGACUAGGGAUCGGAUGAUGUUAAUUUUUUAAUGACUCA